rnacentral:misc_RNA from 1 species
CUAAAUCGCACCACAAUAUUGCCAUGCACCAAUGGUGAGACUAAUCCUUUUGAAGAAUGUUCCGGGAAUGAGCACACCGUGGAAAUCAUCAAAACGAUGAAAUGAGAACACGUGCAAAUAUAUUUUAUGCAACACAAUAGACCCUGGAAGGCUAAAAGGUGUGGUGUUAACAAGAUAAAUCAUUCACAGGCCUGCACCCUGCCAGAAGCUAGAAUGAAAGAACCCCUAAUGGCAACUCAUAAUUUUCUACAUUAUAG